GACAGAGGGUGCAAACGUUGCUCGGAAUCACUGGGCGUAAAGGGCGUGUAGGCGGGAAGGAAAGUCAGAUGUGAAAUCCCUGGGCUCAACCCAGGAACUGCAUUUGAAACUCCCUUUCUUGAGUACCGGAGAGGAAGGUGGAAUUCCUGGUGUAGAGGUGAAAUUCGUAGAUAUCAGGGAGGAACACCGGUGGCGAAGGCGGCCUUCUGGACGGUAACUGACGACUGGAGACGCGAAAGACGUGGGGAGCGAACAGG
rnacentral:rRNA from 1 species